rnacentral:rRNA from 1 species
UACGGGGGGAGCAAGCGUUGUUCGGAAUUACUGGGCGUAAAGGGCGCGUAGGCGGUGUGUCAAGUCAGGCGUGAAAGCCCCGGGCUCAACCUGGGAACAGCGCUUGAGACUGGCACGCUCGAGUUCGGGAGAGGAUGGUGGAAAUUCCCAGUGUAGAGGUGAAAUUCGUAGAUAUUGGGAAGAACACCGAUGGCGAAGGCAGCC